AUCACCUGUCCAGGGUCGAGGAAGUGGAUGUGCGUGUCGAUUCCACCAGCCGUGAUGAUUUUGUUUUCCCCAGCAAUGACAUCGGUAUUGGCCCCGAUAAUUAUACCUUCAUCGAUAUCAUUCAUGGUAUCAGGAUUCCCGGCUCUUCCAAUGCCAGAUAUCUUGCCGUCUUUGACGCCUAUAUCCGCCUUGAAGAUGCCCGAAUGAUCGAUGAUCAAGGCGUUGGUUAUGACCGUGUCCGCGCAAGUGUAGCCCUUUCCUCCCCCGGAAGAUCCAUUGCUGGUCUGGCCCAUCCCGUCUCGGAU
rnacentral:sRNA from 1 species